rnacentral:rRNA from 1 species
GUAGGUGGCAAGCGUUGUCCGGAACUAUUGGGCGUAAAGCGCGCGCAGGUGGUUCUUUAAGUCUGAUGUGAAAGCCCCCGGCUCAACCGGGGAGGGUCAUUGGAAACUGGGGAACUUGAGUGCAGGAGAGGAAAGUGGAAUUCCACGUGUAGCGGUGAAAUGCGUAGAUAUGUGGAGGAACACCAGUGGCGAAGGCGACUUUCUGGCCUGUAACUGACACUGAGGCGCGAAAGCGUGGGGAGCAAACAGGGAUUAGAUACCCUGGUAGUCCACGCCGUAAACGAUGAGUGCUAAGUGUUGGGGGGGUUUCCCGCCCCUCAGUGCUGCAGCUAACGCAUUAAGCACUCCGCCUGGGGAUACGGUCGCAAGACUG